AACGAACGCUGGCGGCAUGCCUAACACAUGCCAGUCGAACGAGACCUUCGGGUCUAGUGGCGCACGGGUGCGUAACGCGUGGGAUCCUGCCCUUAGGUUCGGAAUAACUCCCCGAAAGGGGUGCUAAUACCGGAUAAUGUCUUCGGACCAAAGAUUUAUCGCCUUUGGAUGGGCCCGCGUUGGAUUAGCUAGUUGGUAGGGUAAAAGCCUACCAAGGCGACGAUCCAUAGCUGGUCUGAGAGGAUGAUCAGCCACACUGGGACUGAGACACGGCCCAGACUCCUACGGGAGGCAGCAGUGGGGAAUAUUGGACAAUGGGCGAAAGCCUGAUCCAGCAAUGCCGCGUGAGUGAUGAAGGCCUUAGGGUUGUAAAGCUCUUUUACCCGGGAUGAUAAUGACAGUACCGGGAGAAUAAGCUCCGGCUAACUCCGUG
rnacentral:rRNA from 1 species